rnacentral:rRNA from 1 species
GAUCAUGGCUCAGGACGAACGCUGGCGGCGUGCUUAACACAUGCAAGUCGAGCGAUGAAGCUUCUUCGGAAGUGGAUUAGCGGCGGACGGGUGAGUAACACGUGGGUAACCUGCCUCAUAGAGGGGAAUAGCCUUCCGAAAGGAAGAUUAAUACCGCAUAAGAUUGUAAUAUCGCAUGAUAUAGCAAUUAAAGGAGUAAUCCGCUAUGAGAUGGACCCGCGUCGCAUUAGCUAGUUGGUGAGGUAACGGCUCACCAAGGCGACGAUGCGUAGCCGACCUGAGAGGGUGAUCGGCCACAUUGGGACUGAGACACGGCCCAGACUCCUACGGGAGGCAGCAGUGGGGAAUAUUGCACAAUGGGGGAAACCCUGAUGCAGCCAACGCCGCGUGAGUGAUGACGGUCUUCGGAUUGUAAAGCUCUGUCUUCAGGGACGAUAAUGACGGUACCUGGGGAGGAAGCCACGGCUAACUACGUGCCAGCAGCUGC